CUGGCCUGGGCACGGACAGUCGGCUGGAGCCCAGCUUGUCCCAGGGCCCGGCGGAGGACACGCGGCCGUGCCACGCACAGCCCGCCCAGCCCUGCCUCACGUGUUAGGGUCUGCGGGGUUCCAGCGUGUCGUGGAAGCUGGCAGGAGGACCAGCCCGAGGAUGACGGAGGGACCAGGACCCCCCAGCGUGGACUGGCCGGGAAGGCACUCCCGGACGCUUGCCCUGCGUUGACCGCCCAGCAUCCCGAUGCCAGGCCUGGGCACCUCCCAUCCACUCGCUCGCCCCGACCCCUAGUCCCCUCCCACUUGGUAGCAGCUCCAACUGGGGACAGCCUGCUUCUUGUUAACUCGAGUUGCUCAACUGCUCGACCUCACUGGUUUUGCACUGAAGUUUGAGGGUAGAGACCCAUCACCAUCUCCUAUGGCUACAGAUCCGUUGACGUGCGUGAAAAUUCAGCGUUUGCUGAUCCAGGACCCAUCGCCACACAGAAGGCUCCAGGGCAGAGAAUCCUUGUACAAGUAGGAGAGAAGGGCCAUAUGGCGUUAUGUAUAAAGCGACGAUUAUUUUAUGGACCAAGUUUUAAUGUAACUGUUGCAGUGAAAGUGCAAUAUCUAAUCCCUUGCUCCCAGCGGGAAUCGCUUGGCCCGACAAUCACAGCCCCGACGAGGGGCCCCAUGGCCAGUGCCGCCUCCUGUCGGUGCCACCUCACCCCAUCUCGCCCGUCGCCUGGUGAGCAGCCAUCCGGAGGAGCACCGGAAGAGUCUCGGCCCGCCUGCAAUAAAGGCCGGGAGGCCGCCUGGCCGCGGGAGGCCGGGCAGGCAGUGGGCUCGGCCUCUCCCAGCGGGCAGCUCCCCCACGGCCCCGAGCUCCCCGCCUGCCUGCCCAGCCGCCAGCCAUGCCAAGGACAACAGCAAUAGUCCCCGGGCCUCUCCCAGCGGCCCACAGCCAUAGAUGGUGAGGUGGGCAGCCCAGCCUCCCUGUUGACGUCUCUCUUCUCUAUCCAGGGCUGCUUCCUGGCCUCCCUGAAGGUUCCUUUCGCCACAUUAUCCUCUUAAGGAAGCACCAGUUUUUCAGAAACUAAGAGAGGGAGGACAGAGUCCUUUAAAAAUACCAAAAAUGUUUACAGCAUUGGGUGCUGAGCUGCAGGGCUCAGGCCCGACCAGUCGUAACCAAAGGGUGAAGCAGGCCUUGCUGACUGCCACCCCACCCCAGGCCUGUUAGAGUAGAAGCCUUAGCCCCACUCCCACCCCCAAGCCCCCAGGACUGAGCCUCAGCCCGCCGCCCCCAUAUCCCCCCACCUGCCUUCUCUUUGAUUUCUAAAGAGGGAUUCAGCAGAGACCCCACGCCCCCUUCCUAGCUCAGCCUGAGCUGCCUGCCCGCCCGCCCACCCGCCACGUCGCAGUCUUCGCGUCUCAGCCCCCCGUCUGUCUCUCUGGACCGAGUGUGAGUGGUGUCCUGACUUGCCCCCGCCAGCCCUUGCUGUCCCUGCUCCAUCAGGCCUGAGUGUGCUCUGUGUACUGUGUCGUUGUCUGUUACACCAAUUAAAGAAGCAGGAAGGCUU